rnacentral:lncRNA from 1 species
GCUGGUAAAGUGGUUGUGUGCCUGACUGAACUCUUCUUUCACACAGCUUCGAUACAUGCCCUUAAUAUUUUUUAAAGCUAUUCCCUGACAAGGUUGGUCAUUACAGCGCUUGAAAACCCACCGCCCUUUUUUUCUUUCUUUUCAUCUGUGCAAAACCCAGGCACAAGGUUGGUCAUUACAGCGCUUGAAAACCCACCGCCCUUUUUUUCUUUCUUUUCAUCUGUGCAAAACCCAGGCAAACAGAUUUUUUGUGGUGUUUCUGCCGGCCAACGUCGGGCGUCGGCAACUGCUGGCAGUGGUUAAAUCCUGUUGAAGACGACGUAAUGGCGGGGUCCAACUUCAACAGCGGCGGCAAAAUAUGAACAUACUAGACCAACGGUGCCGGUUUCUCUGGUGAGAGAUCCGGAAGUUUUAGGGUUCCGACAAGGUCCGGUUAACUCCGGUGAUAACCAGGUACGCAUGUAUCCUUUUUAGUUAAAUCAGGUCUUCCAUGUUUUUACAUCUAUCAGGUUAGGCUUUUGGGUGUAGUUUGGGACUUCAAACUAAGAUUAGGGUUUAUGGAAACCUACAUGGCAGCGUAAGUGGAACACCGAAUUGAGGCACAAGUUCUGUAUGUUUUGUUACAGCGAGGUUACGUGUUAUUAAAAAAUAACUAACAAUUUUCAUUGUAGCUUGAUUUUGGGGUUUUAUAACCUACAUUGCACCAUUUGAACCUUUGAUGGGUUUUUGCAGAUUUAGAUACGGGCUCAGCAUAGUGGUUUGUUGAAUUGGUGCAUGUGUGAAGAAUUGAUGUUACUCUGUCCAGUUUGCAAGGGUUUUUGUACAGGUUUUAAAGGAAUGGAACGCGUUUGCUUGGUGGGAUGACCUUAAUUAUUAUAGCUCGGCAUAAAUUUGAGUUAAGGUAAUCUCUUAAACGACGACUUUGUUUGGAGAGUUUUACAUUGAUGUUAAAAGUUUACAUGUUAUGAUAGAAAAGAUGCUAUUGGAGAUGGUAGCAAUGUAGCAUGCGUGGGUGUGUGUGCCUUAUCAACUCAUGCUUGAAACUGGAACACAUCCUGGACUGCCAGUUAACUACAUUUUUGCGUAUGUAAACAGCGUAAUGAACUAGCAUAGACAAACUUGUAGCUAAAGGUAAAUUAUAUGCUACUGAACAUAGGCUUGCCUAUAUGUCCCAAGUUUUGUUCAUUGCGUUUAUAAACAACGCCGCAACGGAUUAAUGAUAGCAUAUUAUUAACCAGUUGAAUGCUUGCAGUCGUACCUAAAUGAAACUAGCUUGCAAUGUCGCGCAACGUGCGACGGCUAAUACCCCUAGUUAGAUAAAAAUAUUGACAGGGGUUUAGUUGGAGCAGAAACAAAAACAAAAACACAGCAUAAUCAACAUAAGCGAUGAAACAAUUGAGUAACCGUACCUUUGAAAUUGACAUUCAGAUGUUUGAUUUUGAGGGAUGACGUUCGCAUAGAUGAAGAGAUUUUGAUUCUUCAGGUUGUUCUUCAUGAUGGUGAUGCUUUUGUUAGAGAAGAGAAUGGAUAGAUUACGGUUGCUGGUGCUGGUGUGAUUCAAUACAAUUGAUUUGGGAAUGAUUUGGGGCUAGAAAGAGUGAGGGGAAUUGAAAUUGAUGAAACAUUCAGUUGGGGAUUUUUAUGGCGGUGAUUAUGAAUGAGGGAAUUCAAAAUGACAGUUUACUCCAAGAGUUAUUAGCAUUGAAAGAGAGACCAUUGAGUUGAUUGAAGAGAAGAACCGAAUGAGGGGCAGCUCCUUAAUAAUGUUGUUCUCUCUCCCGUAACUUUUCACAAUCUCAAUCUGACUUUUUGUUUCACUGAAAUAAAUAUAUGGUUUGGAUGGAAUCCUUAUAUUGCCCUUCUUCAAGUGUCUUAAAAGUUUGGAACUUGUCACAAUUUCCCCCCUUUAAAAUGGCUUGUU